ACAAAUCAAAAUAUAAGUGUAUCUUGGUGUCAUGAACUCAAACCUACGUAAUAAAGAUGUCAACCUGAAAAAAGAUGGUUUGUGCGAUACAUAUGUCCUUGAGGAGAUCGAUUACCAAUUUGCACCGAAACAUUGUCUUAGCCCCCUCAUGAAAUCACCUCAAGGAAAAGAAGGUGUGACAUUGAACAUGAUACACCUAUAUGAUAUGCCAUAUAUAUGAUACACAUUUGACCAUAAUAUAUUCCAACUUGCCUAUUCAUAUUCCC
rnacentral:lncRNA from 1 species